AUUGCCUUAGUAACGGCGAGUGAAGCGGCAACAGCUCAAAUUUGAAAGCUGGUCCUUUCAGGGCCCGCGUUGUAAUUUGUAGAGGAUGAUUCGGCGAGGGCUCCCGCCUAAGUCCCCUGGAACGGGGCGUCAUAGAGGGUGAGAAUCCCGUAUGCGGUGGGUUGCCUUAGCCAUGUGAAUCUCCUUCGACGAGUCGAGUUGUUUGGGAAUGCAGCUCUAAAUGGGAGGUAAAUUUCUUCUAAAGCUAAAUACCGGCCAGAGACCGAUAGCGCACAAGUAGAGUGAUCGAAAGAUGAAAAGCACUUUGGAAAGAGAGUUAAAAAGUACGUGAAAUUGUUGAAAGGGAAGCGCUUGCAACCAGACUUGUCCGCAGUUGCUCAGCCGGUCUCCUGACCGGCGUACUCUUCUGCGGCCAGGCCAGCAUCAGUUCGGGCGGUCGGAUAAAGGCCUCGGGAAUGUAGCUCCUCUCGGGGAGUGUUAUAGCCCGGGGUGGAAUGCGGCCAGCCUGGACUGAGGAUCUCGCUUCGGCUAGGAUGCUGGCGUAAUGGUUGUAAGCGGCCCGUCUUGAAACACGGACCAAGGAGUCUAACAUCUAUGCGAGUGUUUGGGUGUCAAACCCAUACGCGUAAUGAAAGUGAACGGAGGUGGGAACCCUCACGGGUGCACCAUCGGCCGAUCCUGAUGUCUUCGGAUG
rnacentral:rRNA from 1 species